GGGCCCGCACAAGCGGUGGAGUAUGUGGUUUAAUUCGAUGCAACGCGAAGAACCUUACCAGGGUUUGACAUCCUGCGAAUCUCUUGGAAACAGGAGAGUGCCUUCGGGAACGCAGUGACAGGUGGUGCAUGGCUGUCGUCAGCUCGUGUCGUGAGAUGUUGGGUUAAGUCCCGCAACGAGCGCAACCCACGUCUUUAGUUGCCAGCAUUUAGUUGGGCACUCUAGAGAGACUGCCGGUGAUAAACCGGAGGAAGGUGUGGAUGACGUCAAGUCAUCAUGCCCCUUACAUCCUGGGCUACACACGUACUACAAUGGUACAGACAGAGGGCAGCCACCUGGCGACAGGGAG
rnacentral:rRNA from 1 species